UACGAAGGGGGCUAGCGUUGUUCGGAUUUACUGGGCGUAAAGAGCUCGUAGGUGGUUUGUCGCGUUGUUCGUGAAAACUCACAGCUUAACUGUGGGCGUGCGGGCGAUACGGGCAGACUGGAGUACUGCAGGGGAGACUGGAAUUCCUGGUGUAGCGGUGGAAUGCGCAGAUAUCAGGAGGAACACCGGUGGCGAAGGCGGUUAGCUGGGCAGUUGCUGACACUGAGGCGCGACAGCGUGGGGAGCAAACAGG
rnacentral:rRNA from 1 species